AGUUGGUUAGUCAGUACGAGCGCAACCCUUAUCCUUAUUUGCCAGCGCAUCAUGGCGGGAACUAUAAGGAGACUGCCGGUCAUAAACCGGAGGAAGGCGGGGACGACGUCAAGUCAUCAUGGCCCUUAUGGGUAGGGCUACACACGUGAUACAAUGGGUGGUACAGAGGGUCGCCAAAGCGCGAGCUGGAGCCAAACCCUUAAAACCAUUCUUAGUCCGGAUUGGAGUCUGCAACUCGACUCCAUGAAGUUGGAAUCGCUAGUAAUCGCGAAUCAGAAUGUCGCGGUGAAUACGUUCUCGGGCCUUGUACACACCGCCCGUCACGUCAUGGAAGUGGGUUGCACCAGAAGUGGCUUGUUUAACCUUCGGGAAAACGGUCACCACGGUGUGAUUCACAACUGGGACGAAGUCGUAACAAGGUAGCCCUAGGGGAACCUGGGGCUGGAUCACCUCCUU
rnacentral:rRNA from 1 species